CCCGUCUUCCCUAUUAGGAAGCUAUUUGGGGUUUCUGGGGUUAUAGGUAUAUAGUAUUCUCACUGUAUAUAUCUGUUUUAUAUGUAAAAUAUAUAUUUUUGCUAUAGCUUUGGCUGUUUGGUUUUUCUUUUUUUUUUUUUCUUCUCUCCUUGGGAAACAGACUCUGUUGUUGAGUUUCGGAGACUUGGCAGGAAGCCAGCUCUAAACUUGCACAAGGUUACAGAUAGGUGGCUUCAACUACUGCGUUUGCAUCUCUUUGUGGUUGUAAGUUUUCCGGUGUCUUCCCAUUUUUGACCACGCUUUCUUCCUAUGCUCUCAUACAGAAGAUGAUCAGGAAGCUGACUAAUUUACUUCUCUGUGGAAGCUAUGAAAUGGACUUUAAAAGUCACAGCAUGAACCAUGGAUUUCAAAGUGGUCUGUACAAGCUGUAGGGGUCCAGUUGUGCACAUCUCACAAUGGGACUCUAGCUCAGUCUUCAAUGACUGACAGAAAGAUGCAUCAGAGGAAAUUCUUGUCAUAUGCAAUUCUCAGCAGUCCCUGUUGAACAAUAACUACAACACCCAACAAUGUGAGUUUUUGGAUGUAACUUCUUGGCAACAUUCCACUUCAGUCUGAGGAAAUGACUGAACCUCACUGGCAUGACUUUUUUGUGCUGAACCCAAGGCAAACACUGGAUGACUGUUUAGGUCAUUCCUUUGUAAAAUAC